GAGAAUCCCGUCCACCGAUUGACUAAGGUUUCCAGAGGAAGGCUCGUCCGCUCUGGGUUAGUCGGGUCCUAAGCUGAGGCCGACAGGCGUAGGCGAUGGAUAACAGGUUGAUAUUCCUGUACCACCAUUAUUCGUUUUAAGCGAUGGGGGGACGCAGUAGGAUAGGCGAAGCGUGCUGUUGGAGUGCACGUCCAAGCAGUGAGAUUGAGUGUUAGGCAAAUCCGGCACUCUUAAGAUUGAGCUGUGAUGGGGAGAGGAACUUGUUCCUCGAGUCGUUGAUUUCACACUGCCGAGAAAAGCCUCUAGCUAGAAUAACGGUGCCCGUACCGCAAACCGACACAGGUAGUCAAGAUGAGAAUUCUAAGGUGAGCGAGCGAACUCUCGUUAAGGAACUCGGCAAAAUGACCCCGUAACUUCGGGAGAAGGGGUGCUCUUUGAGGUUCACGCUUCGAAGAGCCGCAGUGAAUAGGCCCAAGCGACUGUUUAUCAAAAACACAGGUCUCUGCUAAACCGUAAGGUGACGUAUAGGGGCUGACGCCUGCCCGGUGCUGGAAGGUUAAGAGGAGUGGUUAGCGCAAGCGAAGCUACGAAUCGAAGCCCCAGUAAACGGCGGCCGUAACUAUAACGGUCCUAAGGUAGCGAAAUUCCUUGUCGGGUAAGUUCCGACCCGCACGAAAGGCGUAACGAUUUGGGCACUGUCUCAACGAGAGACUCGGUGAAAUCAUAGUACCGGUGAAGAUGCCGGUUACCCGCGACAGGACGGAAAGACCCCGUGGAGCUUUACUGUAGCCUGAUAUUGAAAUUCGGUACAGUUUGUACAGGAUAGGUAGGAGCCUUAGAAGCGUGAGCGCUAGCUUACGUGGAGGCAUUGGUGGGAUACUACCCUAAUUGUAUUGGAUUUCUAACCCGCAGCACUUAUCGUGCUGGGAGACAGUGUCAGGCGGGCAGUUUGACUGGGGCGGUCGCCUCCUAAAGAGUAACGGAGGCGCUCAAAGGUUCCCUCAGAAUGGUUGGAAAUCAUUCAUAGAGUGUAAAGGCAUAAGGGAGCUUGACUGCGAGACCUACAAGUCGAGCAGGGUCGAAAGACGGACUUAGUGAUCCGGUGGUUCCGCAUGGAAGGGCCAUCGCUCAACGGAUAAAAGCUACCCCGGGGAUAACAGGCUUAUCUCCCCCAAGAGUUCACAUCGACGGGGAGGUUUGGCACCUCGAUGUCGGCUCAUCGCAUCCUGGGGCUGUAGUCGGUCCCAAGGGUUGGGCUGUUCGCCCAUUAAAGCGGUACGCGAGCUGGGUUCAGAACGUCGUGAGACAGUUCGGUCCCUAUCCGUCGUGGGCGUAGGAAAUUUGAGAGGAGCUGUCCUUAGUACGAGAGGACCGGGAUGGACAUACCUCUGGUGUACCAGUUGUCGUGCCAACGGCAUAGCUGGGUAGCUAUGUAUGGACGGGAUAAGUGCUGAAAGCAUCUAAGCAUGAAGCCCCCCUCGAGAUGAGAUUUCCCAACUUC
rnacentral:rRNA from 1 species